rnacentral:misc_RNA from 1 species
GGAGGGAUAAUCUUUUCAGCUGAUACUCUGAAGGAUUCUGAUAAACCAGACCUUUGUUUGGUUAAAUGUGGAAGCAUCCUUAUAUUAUACAUUUAAAGAUAAGAAAAAAGUGGACUUUUAUGCAGCAUAUAUAUACAUGUGUGUAUUCCAUUGACGAGGUGCAGGAGGAGGAGGAGAUGAAAGUUUUGGAAAUGGAAGCAAAUGGCAUAUUUGAAAGCGCCAUGAAAGGCAGGUGGGAUGAAGUUGUCGAGGCCUACGAGAAGAACUGUAGUUUUCAAAAGGCCAGGAUAACAAGAUCAGAAGAUACUGCAUUGCACGUAGCAGUAUCUAAUGGCCAAACUGCUGUAGUGUUGAAGCUUGUGGAAAUUGCUAGAGAAAAUGCAUCAACCAUCCUACAUAUAAAAAAUGAUAAAGGAAACACACCUCUCCAUCUAGCAGCAGCACUUGGUAAUGUGAAAAUGUGUCAUUUCCUAGCUACAAAAGAUAGAAGCCUCAUUAGAGCUAGAAAUUUUGAGAGUGAGACCCCCCUUUUCCUCUCAGCUCUCCAUGGCAACAAAAAGGCUUUUCUUUGCCUUCAUUCUCUUUACAAAGAAGCAUAUAGAGAAAUUGACUAUUCCUUGUGCAGAAGAAGUAAUGGGGACACCAUACUUCACUCUGCUAUCACUGGAGAAUAUUUCAGUUUGGCAUUUCAGAUAAUACAUGAUUAUCCAAAUCUUGUCAAUUCUAUUAAUAAGGAUGGUCUAUCUCCUCUGCAUAUCUUAGCCAGUAAGCCUAAAGCUUUCAAAAGUGGAACUCAUCUUCCACCACUGGCACGUCUCAUUUACCGCUGUAAGAAUCUUAGCCUGAGCCAUCAUGUUUUAAAGAGACAGACAGAGAAGAUUAAGCUGCAUUCUUGUUGCUUACUUUCUGCUUCUCUCAAGCUGAAUUGUUUCGAGAGCAAUAUUUUCUUGUCUGUUAUAUUGUAAAGUUGUUGAAGAGCAAAUGAGCUAUAGUUUUUAUCUGUCAUAGGUCUAAUUGUUCAUGAGCUUCAGGAAGAAACACAUGACCCUGAAGCAUGUCAAGACAAUUUAGGAGUCAAAACAGGUCUCAAGUAUCCGCAAAAUUAUGAAACUUGCAUGAACUAUUUCCACACGAUCAGGAGUUGCUUUCAAGUAUUAAGUAUCGGGAGUUGCUUUCAAGUAUUAACUAGAAAGAGGGAAAAUUGCAUAGGUCAUCAAGUGAGGCAAUUUCUUUUUCCACCAAAGACUGAAAAUGAUAACUUAAAGGACGAAGAAAAUGCACAAGAAACAAGCAGAUUGUCUCACGAUAGGAACAUACCAAGGAAAGAGUACAAAGAAAAACGUUUCUAUCCUCCCAAUUAUGCAACAAUUUCCCAUUUCUUCAAGUUUAUGGUUAAUGCCUUACUAAUCAUUCUUGGAUUUGGCAUUUCAAAGAUAAAGAACAUCAGAGAAAAGAAAGAGCGACACACAUGGGCUGCUCAAAUAAUGAAAGAACUGGUUGGAGGAGCUUCUUUGUACAAGUAUGAAGAUAAUGGCCGGGAUACCAAAAAUUCAUGGCCUAAAAGAGAUGGAGAUCCAUCUGAAGUUUUUACAGAGGCUGACAAGAAAUCUCAGGACACAGAUGCAAAGGAUAUUGGGUUAAGUUCCUUGACUGCAAACCAAGAAAAGGACCAAAAUGGAAGAGAUAAGCACAGAAGAGAGAAAAAUCACAAGCACACACUAAUCACCGCGAACCUUGGAGUGACUGAAAUGGAGAACAAGUUUCCUGAAGGGUAUCCAUCUGCAAUCCAAGAGUUGAAUACACCUCAGAAAAAUCCUGUGCUCGUGACAUUUGAGGAGGACACUAAAAAAUCUUGGAAGAAGGAAACGCCUAUACUGAUAGCAGCUAAGAUGGGAGUGACUGAAAUUGUGGAUAAAAUCUUGGACACGUUUCCUAUAGCUAUUCAGGACCUGGACUCUGACAAAAAGAAUGCUGUGCUUCUGGCAGUUGAGCACAGACAAAAGGAUGUCUACAAUCUAUUGCUGAAGAGGGCAAUGCUUAAGGAAACCGUGUUCCGUCAAUUGGACAAUAAAGGAAACAGUGCAUUACAUCUUGCUGCAAAAUUUGGAGAUUAUAGGCCUUGGCUUAUUCCAGGGGCUGCCUUGCAGAUGCAGUGGGAAAUCAAGUGGUACAAGUUUGUCAAGAAAUCCAUGACACCACAUUUCUUUGUUAAACGCAACGGCAAGGGCCAGACUGCAAAAGAGAUCUUCACAGUGACACACAAAGACCUUGUAACAAAGGGCAGUGAAUGGCUCACAAAAACCUCAGAGUCAUGCUCAGUUGUUGCAGCACUCAUUGCAACAGUGGCAUUUGCAACUUCAGCAACUGUACCAGGUGGCGUCAAUCAAGACAAUGGUGCACCGACUCUUAAAAAUGAACCUGCAUUCAAUGUCUUUGCCAUUGCAUCCAUUAUAGCCCUCUGCUUUUCUGUGACUGCACUGAUCUUUUUUCUUACAAUUCUCACCUCCCGCUACCAAGAAAAUGAUUUUGCAAUGGACUUGCCAAGGAAGCUUUUUAUGGGUUUAACAUCACUCUUCACAUCCAUAGCUUCUAUGUUGCUCUCAUUCUGUGCAGGCCAUUUCUUUAUCCUCAAAGAAAACUUGAGAUAUGUAGCUUUUCCAUUGUAUGCUGCCACAUGCUUGCCAAUGACCUUUUUCGCUCUUGCACAACUUCCUCUCUACUUUGAUCUUGUAAGGGCUAUCCUCAAUGAGGUACCUCAACGUAGCUACAGGCACAAGGUUUCUUUGACCCGCUCUAUACAUACUUGAGGUUUCUUUAGAUUUCAAGAUCAAUUUUCUAUUUUAUUUCUUUUAUGGGAAUGUUAAAGAGUGAUUUCUGCACAUUGUUUGAAGUAACUUCUGAUCUUGUGUUGUAAUAUUGAAAUCAACAAUGUAAUCUAGUUUCUAUUCUGUAUUUAUGAUAGGGCUUGCUUCCUUUU